AUAAUUUAUUAAAAUGAAGUAUUGCAAAUACUUAAAUUCCACUCACAGUAA
rnacentral:tRNA from 1 species